rnacentral:lncRNA from 1 species
GAAGAACCAACAUGCACAGGACUUGGUUCCAGCCCUUUGUAAAGCCAGGUAACAUAACAAGAAACGUGCCUUUGCCAUCAAGAUCAACAAGCACAGGCGUUUUCUCACAAUUGCAGGAUAUCAUGCUAUCUAACUCACGAUAGAAGGAUGGCAUUCUAUCUAAACAGCCGUCAAGCCUUUGAAAGAUAAGGACACCCAAUUCAUCCACCUGGAAAGCACAUAUCACUUUUUUUCCUCCAAUCCGUUCGCACGAAAGUGCCAGGUAUUUGCCAGGAUCAACCAGAUCUGUAACAAUACCAAUAAUAGAAUGGAUAAUGCUAUGUGAAGAGCAAUGCUGAGUGAAGAGUGAAGAUUGCACAUUUUACAAUAAGAAAAAAAAAUCAUAUGCAAUGCAUACUUCUUUAAUAAAAAUUAACUACAAUCUUUCUUCUUCAUCAAAGAAAUUCCCCAACAGUUGUUGAAACGAAAAUAUAUUAUGGAGAGAGUAAUUAUCAAUUAGUGCACCCGAACAAAUACCUGGAAUAUGCACAGUAGGAUGAAAGAAGUGACACUGGCCAUCGGAACCCACUGGGACACAAAAAGAACCCGUAAAACUGUUGUCACCCUCACUCUUUGUCCAGCCCUUGUGUGGGUUAUCUGUGUCAUAAUAGUGGAUAAAAACUCUUCCAUCAGUCAAACAGAGUCGGAGGUAUAGCUUACCAUAGAAGUCGAACCAUGAAUUGUUAACUACCCAGGUACCCGACCACAUGUCAGGAUGACCAGGAGCAUCAGGCAAGCAUUCCCAAACCUUGGUUCCGGAGCGUAGAACCGAAAAUAAAUGAGGAGGAUGCUCCACGGGUGCGAAACCACCCGUCUCUAUGAAAUAAUAAUCACUUCUAACUUUGUAACAAGUUGUGAACUGGGUAUCAAUAUCCCUUGGAGCAUCAUCGAUUGAUUUCGACUCCUCCACCUCCUCCUUGUCAAGGUCUAGUUCGAAGACUUUUUUGGAAAAUUGAAAAGCACCACGAUGACGUGGAUGAUAUGGGAAGUAAUAUUGGCGACCUCCAACGAGAUGAAUCUUGGAAUCCAACUCCAAAGCGUACAUGCAGAUCCGUGGAAGAUCCACGCUGAAAUCAAAGGGAAACGGAGGUAGAUUUUCCCAAUUCACAGUCUCCUCCUCCUCGGGUGUUAUCAAUUUCAUGGUGUCGAUGCCGCAGAUCCUUUCAGGCGUUAGCACCAAAAGGUAUCGUUGAUUCUUAUCCGCCAUCAUCCCUUCCUUCUCACGGCACAAGUCAAGCAAUGCAAUUAACUGCGCCAGAAAAGGGGACAAACCCUAGCUGUAACUCAAUUAACAAGGUACAAAAAUAAAACAAUUAAAAUUGAGAAACGAGAACUCAUAAGCAUGGGCAAAUUCUUCUUCGUAGUAUAUAUAUACUCGUAAACUUAAAGACUAGUUUUUAACGUAACGAGUAAAAGAGGGCAUUAUAAAUUGUAACCCUAAUUUAGCAGUUACAAGUAGAUCAUUAUGCUCUGAAAUUACAAUCUCUUUGUCAAAAUAGAUUAAAUAAAAGCAGGCAGAAAAUUCCAGUACAAAAACAUCAGGCAGAGAGAAUAAACGAAGCAACCGUGGCAGAGAGCAGAGCGACGUGAUCACGGCAGGUGAGGUUUUGGGUUUGGGUGAAGAGAGUAACGAAGGUGUGUAGGCUUCAGAAGAAGAGAGAGUAACGUGGAAGAUUAAAAAAUACAGUGAACUAAAAAAAAAAACAUUUUUUAUAUAAUUAUAAAAACUUUUUAAGUGUGACUCAUUUUUUAUACCUUUUUUAACACUACUAAUGAUCUAAAAAGAAAUGAAUGAAAAAAACAGCAUGUGGUAUCAAAUAGCAAAUUCUAAAAAGAUCACAUUUUUAUUGGAUGGGAUUGUUUUUUUUUUUAAUUCAUACAAAAAAAAGAUUCAGUUAGAUUUAAAUAAUGAAGAGAUAGAACUUGACAACUCUAACUAUAGAAAAACAGAAAGCAACGAACUUUUAAUUUUUUUUAAUCAAAUAACUAUCUCACCUAAUUGGAUGUUAAAAAUAUAUUAGGGUUUAGGGUUUAGGGUUAUGAGUCCUAAUUAUUAACUAUUCUCUAUUAUGGAAUGAGGAUCAAUGUGUAGAGAAAAGAGUAUAUUAAUAAAGAUAUUUUUUUUCAAAAUCAAAAAAGUAAUUAGGCUGAUAAAAAAUAAAAGAUUUUUAGCUAAUUUGUUAUCCUAAAACAAUUUGGUAAAAAAAGCAAGUGGAGAGAAUAGGGAAAGUAUAGUAAAUUAGUAAUACUAUGAAUAAUUAAUAAUUCAGGAUCAAAUAUUGGUAAUAUUGUCAACAAAAGAUUGUAUAGUCAAAGGGAAUCGAUUUCAUAAAAGAUAAGAGCCGUAAGUAGAAAUUUAUUGAAAUUCAUCCUUGUUAGAUCGUCAAUAUUAUAUUCAAGGUGUCUUUCGAGUAUACCAAAAUCAGUAUAGCUAUCUUUUUUCGGACACAACAACAAAAUUAAAAGAUUCAUACUGAAAUCAAGUACUAAAUUCUUUCUAACUCGUUUGUUGCAUCAAUAUAAUGCACUCAAUACAAAAUUCCACCAAGUUUAAAUGUCUAAGGAAUCUUUAUAGAAUAAAAUAAAAGUUCUCUACAUGUUAAAUAAAAUAAAUAGAAGUAUUUGAAUAUAAUUUGUAAAACAAGUAUUUUAUUAAAAAGUAAUUAUUCAUAUCAACAUAGUUAAUGUGAUAUCGAGAAAAUCUUUAGAAUUAGUUUCUCAAAAGAAAAUCUUCCUUUUAAACAAAUUAUUAUUUUUUAAUUGAGUAAUCUUUUCUAUUUAUAUAAUAAAAUAGAACAAAUUAAUGACUUCUUAAAAUUAAUUAAAGAUAGCCUUUUAAUUUAUUUACAUCCCAAAAUCCAUGAUCAAUAAUUCAAUAUAGCUAAAACAAUAAAAAAGCCAAGGUAGAAACACAACUCAGAAACAGACUAAUUGGAUAGAGUUCAGAAUUAAAAUCAUAGAAAAUCAUAGAAAAUCCAAGACAUAAAAGAAAUGAUCAUCGAAAAAGCAGUGCUCUUCCCAUUGGAUUGGAACAAGAAGGCAGAAGUUUGUUGACAUCACAAUCUAUACAUAGGAUAGAUUAGAGAUUUUAAGAAAACAAGCAUAGUUGUCCUUGACAUGAAUCUAUACAAUAUUCCAAACUAACAAUCAAAUCACCAGGAAGAACCUUCAUCUAUUCAUGAAUUGAAACAAGAAUGGCUUGCAUGGACAAACUUACUCACAUCAAUAUGCGACAACAACAAAUAACAAAGCUACUUUACUUUAAGGUACAUAAGACAAUGAUGACAAAAAACAGAGAGGCAAGCAUUACCUUUGAAGCAAGCAAGCAUGUUUGGAACUCAAAUUUGGCUGCAUUUUCUUUUUCCUCUACUUGGGACCUCGUAUGCAAUGGCUUCGUUACAGGGGAUAACUGGGAAAAGAGAGACACUAAACCAAUCAUCAAAGCCACGUUUUGUGCUGUACAUGUUCAUGCUAAGAACCUUCCAAUCUAAGAAAUCACACUCCAUUGGGGACCUCACAGAUCUAUGCAGGAUCCGGGGGCGAUGCGAUACAACCUUCUUUGCAAUGAGUUGAAGAACCAACACGCAGAGAACUGGGUCCUGUCUUCGUUAAUUUACAAAGCCAGGUAACAUAACAAGAAACGUGCCUAUAAUAUACUGACUAAUAAUUAUAUUCCUGCUAUCAAUUACAUGGUUCUGAAUAUUUUAUACAUUUAAUAUAGCAAAAACAAUCUUAAAAUUAUUAGCAAGAACAAAAUUCCAAUAAAAAGAAAAAAAAAACACACUAGAGAGCAAAAUAUAUUAAAGACUAAAUAAUCUUUAUAUUAUAACUGGUCUACAUCCAUCACACAAAUUGUUACCUGCUGCUAACUUACAAUUGAAUGUAUAUUUAUAAAUAAAAACGAAUAAUGAAAAGCAUGGCUUAAGUAUUUUUGGUGGAGCUGUCUAAAUAUUUACACAUUUGUUCUAAUUUAUCGUUUAGUAUUUACCCAUUAGAGACAAAACUAAAUAUAUUUAUUAAACAACCUCAUACAUAAAAAAUAAAUAUGAGUAACACUCCAAACUAAGAACAAUAAGA